rnacentral:lncRNA from 1 species
GAAAACUGAACUCCGUGAACGGUCAACUCACUUUGACCACCUAAAACUUGCAAUAUAUGGUUCUAAUGAACCUGUUUUCUUUUUCAGAUUAAAGACCUACUAUCAGGCUACAAAUAUCAUACAAAUAACAGACCUAAACAUAAACACAAAUGAAUCUACAAGCUCUGACAUUCGGCUGUCAGACUUGAUUUUCAAAAUUCCUAGAUUUCUAAAAACAAUUAAUCAAGG